UUGAAAAAAAUGAAUCUCAAGUUACGAAAAAAUUUGUGUAAAUUCAAGUGAGACCCAAUUAAUACAAUUUAAUAUUUCAAAUUGAAGGCCGGAUCCCAAUUCCGUCUUUACUUUUCCCGCUCGCCGCCGGGCAAUCUUCUCUCUCCCUCUCUGGUGGUGGCCAUGAAAUUGCUUGGCGGGAAUCUACAGAGAAGCUUUCCCCAAUUUUUAAGUUAGUUGGGAAAGGGGGAGGGGUGGAGGUAUUUGCAUUGAAAUGAAAUUGCAGAGUUGGGUAUUCUUCUGGUUUAAGCACGCGGCGAGGAGUGACUGCUUUCCCAAAUAUGGCAUCGGAAAUUUUCUCUUUCACCGGGCGCAAGAUAGAACAACAACUACUACUACAACAACCAAGCCUCAAGUCCAUGUGCUUUCUCACUUGGGCCAUCCUGGUAGCAGGUGAAAGCAUCUCUCUUCAACACAGCAGAUCACAACAUUAACAGGUCAGGGUGAAAAGGUGAGAGGAAAGGGGAUCCCCUGCCUGAACUUGUACUCUGGAGAAUGGAGAUAAUCCAAUGUUAAAGUGAAAUGGAGCUACAAUUAGAUUCAGCAAUUGCUGUGUAUGUUAUGUGGUUUUUAGUAGGAUGUUCUCUAAAGAAACCUGGCUGGUUAGAGGCUCUAAAUACAUGAAUCAUACUCACUAACCUGUUUGCUGGAAUUUCCAGUAUGUGUGUGUGUGUGUGUGUAUUUAACAGAUUACAGAUAUGUAAUAUAGACAUGUUUGUCUGCAA